rnacentral:rRNA from 1 species
AUACGUAGGGUGCGAGCGUUGUCCGGAAUUACUGGGCGUAAAGAGCUCGUAGGUGGUUUGUCGCGUCGUCUGUGAAAUUCCGGGGCUUAACUCCGGGCGUGCAGGCGAUACGGGCAUAACUUGAGUACUGUAGGGGAGACUGGAAUUCCUGGUGUAGCGGUGAAAUGCGCAGAUAUCAGGAGGAACACCGGUGGCGAAGGCGGGUCUCUGGGCAGUAACUGACGCUGAGGAGCGAAAGCAUGGGUAGCGAACAGGAUUAGAUACCCUGGUAGUCCAUGCCGUAAACGGUGGGCACUAGGUGUAGGGGUCUUCCACGACUUCUGUGCCGUAGCUAACGCAUUAAGCGCACCGCCUGGGGAGUACGGCCGCAAGGCUAAAACUCAAAGGAAUUGACGGGG